rnacentral:rRNA from 1 species
AUUGAACGCUGGCGGCAUGCUUUACACAUGCAAGUCGAACGGUAACAGGUUAGGCUGACGAGUGGCGAACGGGUGAGUAAUGCAUCGGAACGUGCCCGAUCGUGGGGGAUAACGCAGCGAAAGCUGCGCUAAUACCGCAUACGAUCUGAGGAUGAAAGCGGGGGACCGUAAGGCCUCGCGCGAUCGGAGCGGCCGAUGUCAGAUUAGGUAGUUGGUGGGGUAAAGGCCCACCAAGCCGACGAUCUGUAGCUGGUCUGAGAGGACGACCAGCCACACUGGGACUGAGACACGGCCCAGACUCCUACAGGAGGCAGCAGUGGGGAAUUUUGGACAAUGGGCGAAAGCCUGAUCCAGCAAUGCCGCGUGCAGGAAGAAGGCCUUCGGGUUGUAAACUGCUUUUGUACGGAGCGAAAAGGUCCUUUCUAAUACAAGGGGCUCAUGACGGUACCGUAAGAAUAAGCACCGGCUAACUACGUGCCAGCAGCCGCCGUAACAC